rnacentral:rRNA from 1 species
UGGGGAAUAUUGGACAAUGGGCGCAAGCCUGAUCCAGCCAUGCCGCGUGUGUGAAGAAGGCCUUCGGGUUGUAAAGCACUUUNAGUGGGGAGGAAGGGCAGUNGGUUAAUACCNUGCUGGNUUGACGUUACCCACAGAAUAAGCACCGGCUAACUCCGUGCCAGCAGCCGCGGUAAUACGGAGGGUGCAAGCGUUAAUCGGAAUUACUGGGCGUAAAGCGCGCGUAGGUGGUUNGUUAAGUCGGAUGUGAAAUCCCCGGGCUCAACCUGGGAACUGCAUUCGAAACUGGCAAGCUAGAGUNUGGUAGAGGGGGGUGGAAUUCCCGGUGUAGCGGUGAAAUGCGUAGAGAUCAGGAGGAACACCNGUGGCGAAGGC